UGCCCCCUCCCAUGCGACUUCCUUUUAAAAUCAUCCCACCCAAGCGUGUGCGUGCGAGUGGGUAUGUUUCGACAAGUCCCGGAGGAGAAGCAAUCAGCACGACGAAAUGAGUCACGCUAAAAGAGAAGGACCACACAAUCUCCAGGCAGAACUGUUGUGAUUUGGGGAGCAUCGUGUCGGGCACCCCCUUGAAGCACAUCAAUAUUCACCAGGAUAUGACUGCUGGCAAGAAAACAGGAAGUUGGAAAACGCAAAGCCAAGGUGACAAAAACGUAAGCUCCUUGGUGGAGGUUUUGCAGAAGCUGGCACGCGGACCUCCAUCUAGUCACAGCCCCCCCCCCCCC